AGUGAACGCUGGCGGUAGGCCUAACACAUGCAAGUCGAACGGCAGCACAGUAAGAGCUUGCUCUUACGGGUGGCGAGUGGCGGACGGGUGAGGAAUACAUCGGAAUCUACUUUUUCGUGGGGGAUAACGUAGGGAAACUUACGCUAAUACCGCAUACGACCUACGGGUGAAAGCAGGGGAUCUUCGGACCUUGCGCGAUUGAAUGAGCCGAUGUCGGAUUAGCUAGUUGGCGGGGUAAAGGCCCACCAAGGCGACGAUCCGUAGCUGGUCUGAGAGGAUGAUCAGCCACACUGGAACUGAGACACGGUCCAGACUCCUACGGGAGGCAGCAGUGGGGAAUAUUGGGCAAUGGGCGCAAGCCUGAUGCAGCCAUGCCGCGUGGGUGAAGAAGGCCUUCGGGUUGUAAAGCCCUUUUGUUGGGAAAGAAAAGCAGCAGGUUAAUACCCCGCUGUUCUGACGGUACCCAAAGAAUAAGCACCGGCUAACUUCGUG
rnacentral:rRNA from 1 species